CACACUUUCUAACAAACGGGUUCGCAUCAUUUAGCGUCUGUGGCUAGUAGUAUCCCGCUCUUAGGAGCUUUUGUGCCAAAGCCCUACCUCCCUUCUACUAGCACUCCUUCUACUAGGGUGAACAUGAACGCCAUACUCUUCACCUUCCUGGCUUUUGUCUUUUCUUCCGGCAACCCCCUGGUAGUUAGGUACCUUGGCAUUCAUGUGUCUAGUCUAGGACUCUAGGUCCCUUUAUCGCUGCCUCCCUUCCGAUGGAGGGGGUUUCCAAGGUUUGUGUCGUGAUUUCCCAGGGGGAAGUGAAUUUUUUGCUCCUAAGGGGGGACUCACCAUAGCUUGUCUGCUCGCCAAUUACUUUCCUGAGGAAUUCGUUGAAUUUUGAAGUAUUGGAAGCGGUCAUGCCAUUCCUACGCCCACUGCAAGUACGAUCUCAAUUUCUCCCCUUUGGUUUCAUAUCACCCCGAUACUUGGUUCACUAUUACCUGCGAGUCCGCAUGCACUUCUACUUCCUUUGAUCCCAUCCUCUCCACCAUGGCUAGUCCUGUUAGCAACACCUCAUAUUCUACCUUAUUGUUGGUAACUUUGAAUACCAGUUUCACGGUGUAAUAGAUCUUCUCCCCUUUGUCAGUGAUUAUGUAGAGGUCUACCCCACCACAAAGACAUGAGGAACAGUCUACAUAUACCUGCCAAGGACUUCCUUUCAAGGUUUAUUGUGCCUCUUGUGGGAAGAUGGCAAAUUCGGCAAUGAACACCAUUAAUACUUGCCCCUUUGUUGUGUUUCUAGGAACGUAGUCAGUGUUGAAUUCAUUGAGCUCAAUCGACGGAUUUACUAGUUGAUCGGAAGUAUCAGGCUUGUGUAAGACUUUUUUCUGGGGGGCCUCAGUCAAGCGAGCUGCCACCACCAAUGCUAGCGCAAGCAACUCUACACGCGGGUAAUGCGUCUCGGCCUCCCUCAAGGCGUGGCUCAUGUAAUACAUUGGCCUCUGUUUUCUGCCUUCCUCUUGGAUUAGCACAGCGAAAGUUGUGUCUGGUGUGACAGACACUCAAUAGGGGGUUAGCUAGGUUCUCUUGAACCGUGUACUCUGCUGGAGCAGGGGUCACGUUGCCCCAUAGAGUCUUCACUGAUGGGCCGCUCAUGGUUUAUGAAUGGACCUUUGGGUUCGUUAUGUGUUACAUAUUUUUCCUAACAUUCGUCAUCACUUUUGGGUCCUCCAGUGAAACCGAACAUCGUUGGGUUACUUAUCUUUAUUGUAAGGCCAAUGAUGAAAAAAUAUCAUCGUUGAAGGUCUUAUCAUCUUACUAAUUUAUUAUCAAUAAAGCACUUGAUGUCGGAACUCUCAUCUCUCAUCUCUCAUCUCUCAUCUUUUCCAAAGGCAACGUCCAUGAAAUUAGUCCUACUGCGCGCUUUCCUUGGCGUGCAUUUCUUUUAUCCUUGGCAUGCGCGAUUUCCAUGUGACCUUUGAUUCUCAAUGUCUCUUUUCCAUAGGCAACGUCCAUUUAAAUUAGCAGCAGUGGCAGCUUUAAUUCCUUGUCAUUUUCUUUUUUGGUAGGCCCUAUUGUACCAUGUGAACUUUGAAAUUAGUAGCACUGCCUUUUCCUUGGCAUUUCCUUUCC